GACGAUAAGACCCUAUAAAGCUUUAUAUGUUGGUAUAAUUUAAUUUAAUUGAAAAUAUAAAAAUUUAUUUAAAUAGACAUAUUUAGUUGGGGCGACUAAGGUAUAAUUAUUAGUAACUGAUUGAAGCUAAAUCAAUGAUGGUUGAUUUACUUAUAAUUGAUCCUUAUUAAAGAUUAAAGAUUAAGUUACUUUAGGGAUAACAGCG
rnacentral:rRNA from 1 species